AUUGCCGGCCAAAGGGCGCGGGAAACACCCAAACCCAUUCCGAACUUGGAAGUUAAACCGCGCUCCGUUCCUGGUUUUAGUGGGGUCUUCGGCCCCGCGAAGCCAGGAAAGCUGGCAAUC
rnacentral:rRNA from 1 species